CAUCAUCUCCAAUUUUACUUGGAGCGAUCAAUCCCAUCUUGACUCGCACUCAGACUUCGUAAGUAUUUGACUGUAUCCAAAAAUCUUUUGUCAUCAAAUUAGAAAUUCGGAUAGUCCGACAUCAAAGCACAGUGAGUUGCUUGCAAGUCACCGAGGCAGCCUCAGAUCAGAGGGACACAUAUACCCAUAUCCCAUCAGAGCAACCCUUGAUAGUAGAGUACUCCGGAAGUGAUCACGCUCAAUGAAAUGUACUCUUACAAAUCAUCCAUAUACCAUAUCCGUGUUACCACACGUCUUGGUUAAGAGGACAACCAACUAAUAUGGCACACAAUGACUUACACUUGAUAUAAUUAUCAUCUUUGUAAUAAUUGUAUCAUUUGGUCGCGAGCAGGAUUUAAGAACCACACGAUAAAUCCUCCUUUAUCAUUUUGAAAGUAGCUCUAAGGACUUUAUCAUAAUAUAUGAGUUUUAUUUAGGAAGAUGUAUUCCUUAUGAUGAAUCUGUCGG
rnacentral:lncRNA from 1 species